GCCUACGGGGCGCAGCAGUGAGGGAUAUUGGUCAAUGGGGGGAACCCUGAACCAGCAACGCCGCGUGAGGGAAGACGGUUUUCGGAUUGUAAACCUCUGUCCUCUGUGAAGAUAAUGACGGUAGCAGAGGAGGAAGCUCCGGCUAACUACGUGCCAGCAGCCGCGGUAAUACGUAGGGGGCAAGCGUUAUCCGGAUUUACUGGGUGUAAAGGGGGCGCAGACGGCGAUGCAAGCCAGGAGUGAAAGCCCGGGGCCCAACCCCGGGACUGCUCUUGGAACUGCGUGGCUGGAGUGCAGGAGGGGCG
rnacentral:rRNA from 1 species